GGCUAAUUAGACUGGGCUGGUCAGCUCCAGGCUAUCCUAUUAUAUAGUCAAAAAAUGUUUCCUUUUCCCCCCCUCCUUCCUCCAAAAUGAGGCAUUUCUUCCUAAAAUUACACUGGUUUGGGAUGCACGACAGGUGAGCCCGAUCAGCAAAGUUUGGACACCUUUUCCCUCAGCCAAAGUCGGAGGCUGUUUGGCUCUGGGGUUCUGGCCUAGGCCCACAUCUAAUCUUGGUGGGAUUUGCUCCCCCUGCCAGAGAUGGACGUUUAAUCCUGUGUCCUGCAGUCUACAAAGAGGGAAGGGGAUUUACCCUUGGAAAUGAAGAAAAGCUGUUCAGGUGGGGCCAGGAACAAGGCAGGAAGAAUGCAAGAGGGUGAAGCUAACGCCCAGAGAGAUGAAGUGAAUUCCCCAAGAUUACAUAUCGAGUCAGUGGCAGUGUCGGCAAGAGAACCAAAGUCUCCCGACAUGAAAUCCCCUGCUCCGACUGUUAGACAAGGCUGCCUGUGGACACUGAUGGUUUAUAGCCACAUGCUCAAUAUUUCACAAUACAACACACACAGUUCCAGGGAUGAUAUCACCUGACUCAGUCUGUCUUUCCAUUUGUAUUUAUAAAAGAACAUCAUAAAAGGAGGCAGUGUGAAGAUAUACAAUAACUAGGACUCAUUGGCCAAUUAUUAUAUAACGUAACAGAAAACAUUUUCCAAAACCAAUCACAUAAUUCUAGAAGUGUACGUAUACUAGAUACUUCUUCGGAGGGGACUGAAAAAGCUUUAUCCUGCCACCUAGCAUGUGACAGCCCAACUGAGGUUUAUCAUGUCCAGCAAACUGCAUACCCUGCUAUACGAAUCAGAGAAACACACAGUCCAAAGAGUAACCAUAAGCAUGCAAACUGACUAUAAUAUUAUUCCACAAGCCUGUGACUCCUGCAUUUCUCAGAGGGGGAUCAUGCCUGUUUCUCACAAACUGCAAAUCUAAUAGUACUGAAAGCCACCUCAGUACUGGAAUGGAGGGGCACUUUGUCUGUGGGCUGGGUUGCUGUGUUCCGCACUUGGGAAACUGUACAGUAUAUUGAGUGUUAGAGGGAGAUAAAAAAAUAAUGCUUAGAAUAGAAUGGGGGUUGAAUCCUUAACUACGGAACUAUGAACAUGGUUCCAUGAUGUGCUGUUCCCACUAAAGCACACAGCAUAGCUCGUACAGAUCUCAGUGGGUUAUCAUAACAUGCACAACCUGGGUUCUUAAGGUUCUCCGGGAGCAGCAAAACAAAGCCAACACCCCUAUUGACAUCAGAUAGCCUGGUCCCAGUGGGAAGUGAUAUCCGACAUCCCAAUUCAUACUAGAGAAACCACUGUACUGCUAACAGCAAUGCAGACGCAAACCCAAUUUAAACAGUCCAUGUUUAAGUGAUCAAGGAUAACCAGUCUGCUUCCAUGUGAUAAUGGAAACUCUCUCUAGUCCUUUGAGAUCAACAUUCUUUGCUUGCUAUGUUGAUGGAACUGAAACUUUAUGUCACUUAAUUGCUUCUCAAUGAUAUAUACAAUAUCUAUCCUAUAGGUAUAUAAUAUAUUAAACCUGCACUAAUUAUUAUUAUAUAAUAUAUGAAAUGUGUACUAGAAAUCUCCCAUAUUAGACAACCUCCUGUAUUGAGAUUACCAAUUGAAGUCUAUUUUGUCCAUUGA